CCUACGGGCGGCAGCAGUGAGGAAUAUUGGUCAAUGGACGAAAGUCUGAACCAGCCAAGUAGCGUGAAGGAUGACUGCCCUAUGGGUUGUAAACUUCUUUUAUAAAGGAAUAAAACGAGGCACGUGUGCCUUUUUGCAUGUACUUUAUGAAUAAGGAUCGGCUAACUCCGUGCCAGCAGCCGCGGUAAUACGGAGGAUCCGAGCGUUAUCCGGAUUUAUUGGGUGUAAAGGGAGCGUAGAUGGGUUGUUAAGUCAGUUGUGAAAGUUUGGGGCUCAACCGUAAAAUUGCAAUUGAUACUGGCUGUCUUGAGUACAGGUGAGGUAGGCGGAAUUCGUGGUGUAGCGGUGAAAUGCUUAGAUAUCACGAAGAACCCCGAUUGCGAAGGCAGCUUACUAAACUGUAACUGACAUUGAGGCUCGAAAGUGUGGGUAUCAAACAGGAUUAGAUACCCGAGUAGUC
rnacentral:rRNA from 1 species